UACGAAGGGGGCUAGCGUUGCUCGGAAUCACUGGGCGUAAAGCGCGCGUAGGCGGGUUGGUAAGUCCGCUGUGAAAGCCCGGAGCUCAACUCCGGAGGGUCGGUGGAUACUGCCAGUCUUGAAGGUGCUAGGGGGAGAUGGAAUUACCGGUGUAGCGGUGAAAUGCGUAGAUAUCGGUAGGAACACCAGUGGCGAAGGCGGUCUCCUGGGGCAUUCUUGACGCUGAGGCGCGAAAGCUGGGGGAGCGAACGGG
rnacentral:rRNA from 1 species